UAGGGAAUCUUCCACAAUGGACGCAAGUCUGAUGGAGCAACGCCGCGUGAGUGAAGAAGGUUUUCGGACCGUAAAGCUCUGUUGUUGGUGAAGAAGGAUAGAGGUAGUAACUGGCCUUUAUUUGACGGUAAUCAACCAGAAAGUCACGGCUAACUACGUGCCAGCAGCCGCGGUAAUCGUAGGUGGCAAGCGUUGUCCGGAUUUAUUGGGCGUAAAGCGAGCGCAGGCGGAAGAAUAAGUCUGAUGUGAAAGCCCUCGGCUUAACCGAGGAAUUGCAUCGGAAACUGUUUUCUUGAGUGCAGAAGAGGAGAGUAGAACUCCAUGUGUAGCGGUGGAAUGCGUAGAUAUAUGGAAGAAUACCAGUGGCGAAGGCGGCUCUCUGGUCUGCAACUGACGCUGAGGCUCGAAAGCAUGGGUAGCGACAGGAUUAGAUACCCUGGUAGUCCAUGCCGUAAACGAUGAGUGCUAAGUGUUGGGAGGCUUCCGCCUCUCAGUGCUGCAGCUAACGCAUUAAGCACUCCGCCUGGGGGAGUACGACCGCAAGGUUGAAAC
rnacentral:rRNA from 1 species